ensembl:lncRNA
GGAUCCUGGAAUAAGAGCAGGGAGUUCUGUGUUUUCCACGGAGCAGAUCUGGUGGUUGUGGACAGUAAAGAGGAGAUGGACUUCAUUAGCAGACAGCUCGGCGGGAACAUCUGGCUCGGAGCGACAGAUGAGGCCAGUGAAGGGAUGUGGAGAUGGGUUGAUGGGACCGUCCUGUCAGUGGAUAACCCCUCCUGGAGUGGAGGGAAACCUGAUGGUGGCAAGGACAAGAACUGCUUAAGGAGGGUCUGGGGAAGACCAACAUUAAAUGGACAGAUGAGAGCUGUGAAGACAACAGAUAUGGGCUUUGUGAAUAUAAUUUAAUGAAAUGAUGGAUGAAAACAUUUCUUUGUCUGACAGAUUUGUUUCUUUGACUAUUUUUUUAUCUUAAUGCCAACUAACAUUUGUUGUUUUGUUUCAUACUUGUUGAGUUCUGCCAUUCGAUAAGAGCUGUGAUUGGCUGCAAGGUGUUAUCUCCUCAAAAUGAGAUGACAUGAAGACUUCACUGGUCACUGCAGGAGCUGUACAUAGAUGCUUUUCUUGUUACAUUAUUUUUUUAAUGUUUCCACAGUUGCUCUCGGUGUUGGAGGCUGAGGUUAGGCGGUAAAAAGUCAUGACAAUUAUUGGCUGGUUUUCAGUUGCUGCAAACCACACUAGUUCUCUAUUUAGGGCUGCAUUUGCUGCCUUUGUCCCCUCAGCUUAUUUAAUAAUUUUUCCUUUGAAAUGUAUCUCGACUUUGUCACCAUACAGUGAUCACUAUAAAAACUUGUAUAAAUUAUCUGUUGGUUCUACGGUGUUCAGAGGAACAGUAGACUUGUGUCUUGGUGUCUGAAUCGGCUUGUAGGUCUGCACUUAGUUUUGCGUUACUGGAUGAACACUUUUGAAGGUACAUAUGCAUACAUGCAUUCUCACACAUACAGUAAUUUGUAAAUUGCAUUGAAUCUGUAAAUUUUGUGUCCAUUCAGCUGUGUUUGCUGUAGUGAAUUUGACCUUUUAUUAAAGAAG